UACGUAGGGGGCAAGCGUUAUCCGGAUUUACUGGGUGUAAAGGGAGCGUAGACGGCACUGCAAGUCUGGAGUGAAAGCCCGAGGCCCAACCACGGGACUGCUCUGGAAACUGCGGGGCUGGAGUGCAGGAGGGGUAAGCGGAAUUCCUAGUGUAGCGGUGAAAUGCGUAGAGAUUAGGAAGAACACCAGUGGCGAAGGCGACUUACUGGACUGUAACUGACGCUGAGGCAUGAGAGCAUGGGGAGCAAACAGG
rnacentral:rRNA from 1 species